rnacentral:tRNA from 1 species
GGUAACAGGGUAUCUCGUGAACAAUCGAGAUACGACGGGGCAUUGCCUACCCGAUACUAUGAAAGCG